GAUGAACGCUGGCGGCGUGCCUAAUACAUGCAAGUCGAGCGGACGGACGAGAAUCUUGCUUCUCUGAUGUUAGCGGCGGGCGGGUGAGUAACACGUGGAUAACCUCCCUAUCUGACUGGGAUAACUUCGGGAACCCGGAGCUAAUACCGGAUAAUAUUUUGCACCGCAUGGUUCAAAAGUGAAAGACGGUCUUGCUGUCACUUAUAGAUGGUUCCGCGCUGCAUUAGCUAGUUGGUAAGGUAACGGCUUACCAAGGCAACGAUGCAUAGCCGACCUGGGGGGGGGAUAGGCGACACUGGAACUGAGACACGGGCCAGACUCCUACGGGAGGCAGCAGUAGGGAAUCGUAGGCAGUGGGAGAGAGCAUGACGGAGCAACGGGGCGUGAGUGAUGAAGGUAAUGGGAUCGGAAAGAUGUGUUAUUAGGGAAGAACAUAUGUGUAAGUAACUGAGCACAUAUUGACGGUACCUAAUCAGAAAGCAACGGCUAACUACGUG
rnacentral:rRNA from 1 species